AAAUGAUCCCGUAACUUCGGAAGAAGGGAUGCCACGUCAGGUUGCCAGACUUGCUCUGGUUGCUCGACGGGGCCGCAGAGAAUCGACUCAAGCGACUGUUUAGCAAAAACACAGGUGCGUGCCAAGCCGCAUAAGGCGCCGUAUACGCACUGACUCCUGCCCGGUGCCGGAAGGUUAAGGGGAGAGGUUAGCCGCAAGGCGAAGCUUUGAUCCGAAGCCCCGGUAAACGGCGGCCGUAACAAUAACGGUCCUAAGGUAGCGAAAUUCCUUGUCGGGUAAGUUCCGACCUGCACGAAUGGAGUAACGACUUGAGUACUGUCUCGACCACGUGCUCGGCGAAAUAGCAGUCUCGGUGAGGAUUCCGAGUCCCCGCGGCAGGACAAAAAGACCCCAUGCACCUUUACUGCAGCUUGUUAUUGACGAUUGCAUAAGACUGUGUAGCAUAGGUGGGAGCCGUUGAGACGGGGGCGCUAGCUCUCGUGGAGGCAUCAGUGAAAUACCACCCUGUGUUCUGUGAUCGUCUCACCGCGAUAGGCAAACCCUAUCCGGGACCGUGACAGGUGGGCAGUUUGACUGGGGCGGUCGCCUCCGAAAGAGUAACGGAGGCGCGCGAAGGUUGGCUCAGCGCGGUCGGUAAUCGCGCCUAUAGAGUGUAACGGCAGAAGCCAGCCUGACGGUGAGACCGACGGGUCGAGCCGAGACGAAAGUCGGCCGUAGUGAUCCGGUAGACCGGUGUGGAUCGGCUAUCGCGCAACGGAUAAAAGGUACGCUGGGGAUAACAGGCUUAUCGCGCCCGAGAGUUCACAUCGACGGCGCGGUUUGGCACCUCGAUGUCGGCUUGUCACAUCCUGGGGCUGGAGAAGGUCCCAAGGGUUCGGCUGUUCGCCGAUUAAAGUGGCACAUGAGCUGGGUUCAGAACGUCGUGAGACAGUUCGGUCUGUAUCCGUCGUGGGCGUUGGAGGGUUGAGGGGUGCGAACUCUAGUACGAGAGGACCGAGUUGGACGAUCCGCUCGUGUCCCGGCUGUGGCGCCAGCUGCAACGCCGGGUAGCGAUGAUCGGUGGCGAUAACCGCUGAAAGCAUCUAAGUGGGAAGCGUCCCCCAAGAUGAACCCUCCCUGGGAACUUGAUUCCCCUAAAGGGCCAGAGGAGACUACUCCGUCGAUAGGCGACAGGUGGAAGUAGCGCAAGCUAUUACGAGCCCAGUCGUCCUAAUCGCCCGUGCGGCUUGACUCC
rnacentral:rRNA from 1 species